rnacentral:snRNA from 1 species
AUAUUAGCUUCUCGCUAAACUA